AGGAGCAACAGCCCCAGUGGCGUGGCCAGCUUUGGAAACCUGGAUUCAGCUCCGGCAGGAACCCUGCAGGGCCUGGAGGCUCCGGGCGGGG
rnacentral:pre_miRNA from 1 species